rnacentral:tRNA from 1 species
GUGGCUGUGGCUCAGUGGUGGAGUGCUUGCCUAGCAUGUGUGAGGCACUGGGUUCGAUUCUCAGAGCCACA